rnacentral:rRNA from 1 species
GAACCCAUUCCGAACUCAGAAGUGAAACGAAAUAGCGUCGAUGGUAGUGUGGGGUUUCCCCAUGUGAGAGUAGAACAUCGCCAGGC